rnacentral:rRNA from 1 species
GGUAUUUUAACCGUGCGAAGGUAGCGCAAUCACUUGCCCUUUAAUUGAGGACCUGUAUGAAAGGCAUAACGAGGGCUUGACUGUCUCCUCUCUUAGGUCAGUGAACUUGAUCUCUCCGUGCAGAAGCGGGGAUAUGAAUAUAAGACGAGAAGACCCUGUGGAGCUUUAGACAUGGUGCUUAUCACUAUUGAGACUUUCUCCUGAAUAGAAACUAUUAGGUGACCCCUGCCCCAUGUCUUUGGUUGGGGCGACCACGGGAAAAUAAAGAACACCCGCGCGGACUGGGCUGACUAAGCCCUACAACCAAGAGCCACAGCUCUAACUAACAGAACUUCUGACCUUUUGAGACCCGGCAAACGCCGAUCAACGGACCGAGUUACCCCAGGGAUAACAGCGCAAUCCCCUUAUAGAGCUCUUAUCCCUAAGGGGGUUUACGAACCUCGAUGUUGGAUCAGGAC